AUUGAACGCUGGCGGCAGGCCUAACACAUGCAAGUCGAGCGGAGCGGCGGACGGGUGAGUAAUGCCUAGGAAGCUGCCUGGUCGUGGGGGAUGACGUCCUGCAACAGGCGGUAAUACCGCAUACUAUCAGAUGAGCCUAGGCGGGAUUAGCUAGUUGGUAGGGUAGAGGCCUACCAAGGCGACGAUCCGUAACUGGUUUGAGAGGAUGAUCAGGCACACUGGAACUGAGACACGGCCCAGACUCCUACGGGAGGCAGCAGUGGGGAAUAUUGGACAAUGGGCGAAAGCCUGAUCCAGCCAUGCCGCGUGUGUGAAGAAGGUCUUAGGGUUGUAAAGUACUUUAAGUUGGGAGGCGUUACCAACAGAAUAAGCACCGGCUAACUUCGUGCCAGCAGCCGCGGUAAUUC
rnacentral:rRNA from 1 species